GAUCCUGGCUCAGGAUGAACGCUGGCGGCGUGCUUAACACAUGCAAGUCGAACGGGAAUUACUUUAUUGAAACUUCGGUCGAUUUAAUUUAAUUCUAGUGGCGGACGGGUGAGUAACGCGUGGGUAACCUGCCUUAUACAGGGGGAUAACAGUCAGAAAUGGCUGCUAAUACCGCAUAAGCGCACAGAGCUGCAUGGCUCAGUGUAGAAAACUCCGGUGGUAUAAGAUCGGACCCGCGGUUGGAUUA
rnacentral:rRNA from 1 species